GACGAACGCUGGCGGCGUGCUUAACACAUGCAAGUCGAACGGUGAAGGGACCGGUUUUUGCUGGUUCUGGAUGAGUGGCGAACGGGUGAGUAACACGUGAGUAACCUGCCCCCUUCUUCUGGAUAACCGCAUGAAAGUGUGGCUAAUACGGGAUAUUCUGCGCCUGCUGCAUGGUGGGUGUGGGAAAGAUAUUGUUUCGGUGGGGGAUGGGCUCGCGGCCUAUCAGCUUGUUGGUGGGGUGAUGGCCUACCAAGGCGGUGACGGGUAGCCGGCCUGAGAGGGGGGACGGUCACACUGGGACUGAGACACGGCCCAGACUCCUACGGGAGGCAGCGGGGGGGAAUAUUGCACAAUGGGCGAAAGCCUGAUGCAGCGACGCCGCGUGAGGGAUGGAGGCCUUCGGGUUGUAAACCUCUUUCGCCAGUGAAGCAGGCCUGUCCCUUUUGUGGUUGGGUUGACGGUAGCUGGAUAAGAAGCGCCGGCUAACUACGUG
rnacentral:rRNA from 1 species